rnacentral:rRNA from 1 species
GCUUGUCUCAAAGAUUAAGCCAUGCAUGUCUAAGUAUAAGCAAUUAUACAGCGAAACUGCGAAUGGCUCAUUAAAUCAGUUAUCGUUUAUUUGAUAGUACCUUACUACUUGGAUAACCGUGGUAAUUCUAGAGCUAAUACAUGCUAAAAACCCCGACUCACGAAGGGGUGUAUUUAUUAGAUAAAAAACCAACGCCCUUCGGGGCUCCUUGGUGAAUCAUAAUAACUUAACGAAUCGCAUGGCCUUGCGCCGGCGAUGGUUCAUUCAAAUUUCUGCCCUAUCAACUUUCGAUGGUAGGAUAGUGGCCUACCAUGGUGGCAACGGGUAACGGGGAAUUAGGGUUCGAUUCCGGAGAGGGAGCCUGAGAAACGGCUACUACAUCCAAGGAAGGCAGCAGGCGCGCAAAUUACCCAAUCCCGACACGGGGAGGUAGUGACAAUAAAUACUGAUACAGGGCUCUUUUGGGUCUUGUAAUCGGAAUGAGUACAAUUUAAAUCCCUUAACGAGGAACAAUUGGAGG